rnacentral:rRNA from 1 species
UACGAAGGGGGCUAGCGUUGCUCGGAAUCACUGGGCGUAAAGGGUGCGUAGGCGGGUCUUUAAGUCAGGGGUGAAAUCCUGGAGCUCAACUCCAGAACUGCCUUUGAUACUGAGGAUCUUGAGUAUGGGAGAGGUGAGUGGAACUGCGAGUGUAGAGGUGAAAUUCGUAGAUAUUCGCAAGAACACCAGUGGCGAAGGCGGCUCACUGGCCCAUUACUGACGCUGAGGCACGAAAGCGUGGGGGAGCAAACAGG